GGUUCGAUGGCGUAUCUGGAUAACGCAUCUGUCUAACAUGUCAAUUGGACUGUUGGUUACACAGAAGGUCUCCAGUUCGAGUCUGGGUCAAAUUA